AGUGAACGCUGGCGGUAGGCCUAACACAUGCAAGUCGAACGGCAGCACAGUAAGAGCUUGCUCUUACGGGUGGCGAGUGGCGGACGGGUGAGGAAUACAUCGGAAUCUACUUUUUCGUGGGGGAUAACGUAGGGAAACUUACGCCAAUACCGCAUACGACCUACGGGUGAAAGCAGGGGAUCUUCGGACCUUGCGCGAUUGAAUGAGCCGAUGUCGGAUUAGCUAGUUGGCGGGGUAAAGGCCCACCAAGGCGACGAUCCGUAGCUGGUCUGAGAGGAUGAUCAGCCACACUGGAACUGAGACACGGUCCAGACUCCUACGGGAGGCAGCAGUGGGGAAUAUUGGACAGUGGGCGCAAGCCUGAUCCAGCCAUACCGCGUGGGUGAAGAAGGCCUUCGGGUUGUAAAGCCCUUUUGUUGGGAAAGAAAAGCAGCAGGUUAAUACCCCGCUGUUCUGACGGUACCCAAAGAAUAAGCACCGGCUAACUUCGUG
rnacentral:rRNA from 1 species